GGCUGUGAGGGGAAACUGGCUGUAAUAUCUGUCACCUCAUUGAUUGCCAGGAUUGAUUCAGCUGAUCUGGCUGGCAAGGCGGGUGUCCUCCUCUUUCUCCCUCACCAUUCCAUGUGCAUCCCUCCUGACACUGUGCUCUUGGUGGAAGAGGACAGCCUUUCCCAAAUACAGGUGAACAGUUCUUCAGUUGAGAGUAUAUGAGUGGCUGUGCUCCCCUGAUAAAACCUCCAAAAAAGCUCACAGGGUUUUAAAAAAAUUUCAUUUUUAAUAUUUUUAGUUUUUUAUUUUCAUUCAUACCUGGCGGUGCUCAGGACAUACUCCUGGUUCU
rnacentral:snRNA from 1 species